CAGUCUAGUGUCAUCCCAAGAGGAGGCGGCCUGAGGUGCCAGCCAUCCACAGUCCACUCUUAUUCUCCCGUCCACUGAAGAAGGCACCAAGUAAGAGUUGCAAGGCAGAAGUGUGAGCUACAGAAAAAAGUGGCAAGAUGCAGUGUGGAGGGCCAGUUUCUCAAGAUGAGCCGGAGCAAGGCUGCCUCAAGCUGCUGUCCAAUCAGCGAAGAGAUCACCUCGGCAGCCCGGCAGGCCACAAUGGCAAUGUUCAGACUACAACAGCGUUCAGGGAAAACAAAACUACACACAUUUCGCGGCAGCCAUGGAGUCAUUAUUGAAACUGAAUUAUUAGCAUUAGAGUUUUACUAUGGAGAUAUACAUAUAUUACCACUGUAGUGAAAGACAGAGUAUGGAAGGAAAAUCACCAAAAUUUCUAGAAGUUUAGUAAAAUAAAUGUUUGCAAUAUACAAAAAAUCUACAAAAGGUGAAAAUGACAUCCUGAAACUAAGGUGAAGAUAUGAAAGCAAAAUACCUUGCCUGAAAAGGUGUGUAAAAACCUGCCUGGGUACACGAGUGCCUGAAAAGGUGUGUAAAAACCUGCCUGGGUACACGAGUGCCUGAAAAGGUGUGUAAAAACCUGCCUGGGUACACAAGUGCCUGAAAA